rnacentral:rRNA from 1 species
GACAACGCUGGCGGCGCGCCUAACACAUGCAAGUCGAACGGACGAAGGGAGCUUGCUCCCCGAGUUAGUGGCGGACGGGUGAGUAACACGUGAGCAACCUGCCUUUCAGAGGGGGACAACAGUUGGAAACGACUGCUAAUACCGCAUAACGUCAUUUGAAGGCAUCUUCGGGUGACCAAAGAUUUAUCGCUGAAAGAUGGGCUCGCGUCUGAUUAGAUAGUUGGUGAGGUAACGGCCCACCAAGUCGACGAUCAGUAGCCGGACUGAGAGGUUGAACGGCCACAUUGGGACUGAGACACGGCCCAGACUCC